CCCUUAGAUGUCCUGGGCUGCACGCGCGCUACACUGAUGUGUCCAGUAAGCACCUAACCUCUUCCGAAAGGAACGGGUAACCUUUGCAAAGCACAUCGUGAUGGGGAUAGAUUAUUGCAAUUAUUAGUCUUGAACGAGGAAUUCCUAGUAAGCACAAGUCAUCAGUUUGUGUUGAUUACGUCCCUGCCCUUUGUACACACCGCCCGUCGCUCCUACCGAUUGAAUGUUCCGGUGAGCUCUUCGGACUGCGCGGUCUGCAGUUUCUGCGUUCCGUGCGGAAAGUUGCGCAAACCUUAACAUUUAGAGGAAGGAGAAGUCGUAACA
rnacentral:rRNA from 1 species